AAGUCGUAACAAGGUUUCCGUAGGUGAACCUGCGGAAGGAUCAUUAAAAAUGUAACCGGACCGGGACGUCGGGGGCGAGAGCCCUCGGCGGACCGUGAAGGGAGAUUAUCAUACACCCUGUGUUUAUUUACCUUUGUUGCUUUGGCGGGCCGUCCGUAAGGCGUCGGCCCGGCUGACUGCGCCCGCCAGAGGACCCAAACUCUUUUUAUCAGUGAUGUCUGAGUACUAUAUAAUAGUUAGAA
rnacentral:misc_RNA from 1 species